UCCCUGGUGGCCUAGUGGUUAAAGAUGCAGCAUUGUCACUGCUGUGGCUCAGAUUAGGUCCCUGGCCUGGGAA
rnacentral:tRNA from 1 species